AUAGGGGAGCCGGAGGGAAACCGAGUCUUAACCGGGCGUUAAGUUGCAGGGUAUAGACCCGAAACCCGGUGAUCUAGCCAUGGGCAGGUUGAAGGUUGGGUAACACUAACUGGAGGACCGAACCGACUAAUGUUGAAAAAUUAGCGGAUGACCUGUGGCUGGGGGUGAAAGGCCAAUCAAACCGGGAGAUAGCUGGUUCUCCCCGAAAGCUAUUUAGGUAGCGCCUCGUGAAUUCAUCUCCGGGGGUAGAGCACUGUUUCGGCUAGGGGGCCAUCCCGGCUUACCAACCCGAUGCAAACUGCGAAUACCGGAGAAUGUUAUCACGGGAGACACACGGCGGGUGCUAACGUCCGUCGUGAAGAGGGAAACAACCCAGACCGCCAGCUAAGGUCCCAAAGUCAUGGUUAAGUGGGAAACGAUGUGGGAAGGCCCAGACAGCCAGGAUGUUGGCUUAGAAGCAGCCAUCAUUUAAAGAAAGCGUAAUAGCUCACUGGUCGAGUCGGCCUGCGCGGAAGAUGUAACGGGGCUAAACCAUGCACCGAAGCUGCGGCAGCGAACGUAUCACCCAAGACAACUUUACGGAGUUGACGAUUGACGGAGCGAAGCGACGUCAAAGCGUUCAUUAAAGUCGAGUUGGCUUAGGGAUACGUUCGUUGGGUAGGGGAGCGUUCUGUAAGCCUGUGAAGGUGUGUCGUGAGGCAUGCUGGAGGUAUCAGAAGUGCGAAUGCUGACAUAAGUAACGAUAAAGCGGGUGAAAAGCCCGCUCGCCGGAAGACCAAGGGUUCCUGUCCAACGUUAAUCGGGGCAGGGUGAGUCGACCCCUAAGGCGAGGCCGAAAGGCGUAGUCGAUGGGAAACGGGUUAAUAUUCCCGUACUUGGUGUUACUGCGAAGGGGGGACGGAGAAGGCUAUGUUGGCCGGGCGACGGUUGUCCCGGUUUAAGCGUGUAGGUGUGUGUUCCAGGUAAAUCCGGUUCACUUUAACACUGAGGCGUGACGACGAGGCACUACGGUGCUGAAGCAACAAAUGCCCUGCUUCCAGGAAAA
rnacentral:rRNA from 2 species